rnacentral:rRNA from 1 species
GACGAACGCUGGCGGCGUGCUUAACACAUGCAAGUCGAACGGUGACGAGGAGCUUGCUCCUCUGAUCAGUGGCGAACGGGUGAGUAACACGUGAGCAACCUGCCCCAGACUCUGGGAUAACAGUUGGAAACAGCUGCUAAUACCGGAUACGAGACGGAGAGGCAUCUCUACCGUCUGGAAAGUUUUUCGGUCUGGGAUGGACUCGCGGCCUAUCAGCUAGUUGGUGAGGUAAUGGCUCACCAAGGCGACGACGGGUAGCCGGCCUGAGAGGGCGACCGGCCACACUGGGACUGAGACACGGCCCAGACUCCUACGGGAGGCAGCAGUGGGGAAUAUUGCACAAUGGGCGAAAGCCUGAUGCAGCGACGCCGCGUGAGGGAUGACGGCCU